GUGUCUGUGUGUCUGUGUAUGUAUCAGAAUGGAACCACAAAGCCUGGACCCUCUAAAUGCAAAGAAACCUUAGGUGGGGAUUAUGGAAAACCAUGCUGGUGCUUGGUCCCUUCCUCCUCAGUGGAGCUCAGUGUAGGCCAGGCAGUCUUAAAUACUUUUCCUCUAUCCUCUACCAAGUCCCACUCACCUGGAGGACAAAAACCUCCCAGGCAAAGCCCACAGGGAUCUUUUGCCUUUGUUCCUCCUCACCUAGGCACUCCUGGGCACAUGGCACAAGCCUGUAUGCUCCUUCCCAUCCUAGACCAUGAAGUCACAGUUGGGGUCUCUCCUUGUUGGAAUUCUCUCUGUGGCUCUGCGGCCCUGAAGAGAGUGACGAGGUGUGCAGACUUGAGGCUGAUUGAAUGGGAGGCCACCCUACCUCUCGCCACCUCAGUCACCUCUGAAUACCAUCUCAUCCAAAAAAGCACUGCACAUUAGGCCGUCAAUAUACAAAUUUGGACGGAGACAUAAUUUUAGUCCCUAAUAGUCACACGGUAAGUACCUAACAACUUUAGACCCUCCCCUUUUCUCUAGACCCUCCCUCGUCACACACACCCCUCACUAGCUAGAAUGAAGCUUGAGGGGAAGACCUAGAAAAUCAGUUGCUUCUAGGUCAGUGUUCUGGAGGAAGCUUUUGAAGGGAGCAACUGGUAAGCUGUCUCCCUGGUUCAUGGGGGCCCCCAAGUACCUUGCAGUGUGUAUGCGGAUUGGCUACUCUGCCUUGUGGCUGUGACCCCAGCCUUCAGGUAAGAAUCCUCCAUAUAGGAUUCCCAUCCCCACCACGGCAGCUGAUGCCACUUAUGCUUCGGUUCUGGGGAGUGGGGGAGACCCCACUCCUUCCAGGCCUGCCCCGGGCACUUGUGAUCUCAUAAGACAGAAGAGGCCACAGGCAGGCCUCAAUGGAGAUGGGCUUAAGGCACCAGCAACCAGAGGCUGCCAGAGGCCUCCUGCAGCCAUUUCACGACUGCCUUCAUCCUUGUCACUAAUGAGCCUUCGAUUCCAGGAAACUCUGAAAGGAAGAAGGGACACCUGCAUCCUGUUGGGAGAGAGCCCUGACGUAGUGAAAAAGCACAAUGAGACAGAGCUAGGAGUGGCACAGGCCAGAUGAGGGUCACGAGGGCUCAGGAGAAGAUGGUGACCCAGCUGAGUCUGGAAUGGGGAGGAUACUACAGCUGAAUGCAAGCCGGAGGCCCAGAAACAGGACACACACGGUACAGGGGCCAAUUUCCAUGUAACCAGGUGAGCCACAGCCUGAGCAGAAGACCAAGUCCUCUUAAGCGGAGGCCGGGGCUUUGAACACACCUGAGAGGGUGCUCAAAGCCUGUCUGCCACCAGGCAUCUCUACAGACAGACCCCGAGUGGGAGAGGCCAGUCUGUUCUCUCUCGGCCCCUACACCUCUGCUGUGUCUGAACUAAACCCUGCCCUGCAGCUUGGCAGCCCCAAACACUCUGCCCACUGUCAGCAUUACUGCUUUCCAGGAAUCUCCUGUUUUUCAAACUAUUUUUGCCAAGAUGUGUUUUUUUUGCAAACUCCUGGGCCCACCUCCCUUCCCCUCAGUUGAACUGAUGAAACCAUUCAUCUUCCAGCCCCAAGCAGACUCCCUGACACCCCACCCUCACUCCAACUCACUCCAGGUUCUGGCCAAGAACCAGAAGUCCUAGAUGUGGAAGGCAGGCCUGUUUGUCUCCACCAGAGCUGGCGGCACCGAGGGGCUGUGGUCUGCUCGCCCCCUGGCAGUGCACACACUGGCAGACACUCCCCAGGGUACACACUUGUACUGCAAGCUACGUGUUCUGGCAAGAAACAGCAAAGACUCAUUUCCGUCUAUAUUUUGACAGAGAUUAAGGGCAAAGGCCUUUUCUAAAUCAUUCUCCAAAGAGCCAUACUUCAGACUCGUUCUGCAGCUCAGUGUCUCCCGCCCCACAGAAGCCCAUCAAUACUCAUCAAUACGGUAGAUAUUUGUUCAAAUUCCAUAGUGAGUGCAGGUUGGCGAUGGAGGAAGGGCUUCAGGCUUGAUCAUGCCUGGUGCCUGGCUAUUGUUUUAACUCAACUGUGCAAGAAAACCAUGGUGUUUACCAGCCCACAGCCAUCCUUCAGCAGACCCCACAGACACCUAAGGAUGGAAGAUAUAUUGAGUUAUGGAGUAUGAAAUAUUAUCAGAGUUUGGUGUCUAUUAAUGUCUUAAGGAGAAUUCCAUCCUAUGGGAAAAUCUAAAAAUCCCAUAGCAAGUACAUAGAUCCCACUCACUUUCCUUCUCCCUGUCCCCAGAUACCUCCUGGUUUAGUUACCCAAGAGCAGCCACGGUUGUCUCUGCUGCCUCGAGCUAUCACAAAGGUACCACUCCGGGACACGGGUUGAAGACACACAGCCUUUUAACAUGACAUUUAACUGAGAGUUGGUGCCAAAGAGUCCUUGUGAGGAAGAGUCUCACUGUAUUCGGGGCAGCUAGAGUCAACCCACGCGCCUCCCUCUGGGGCUCAAAGGACUUGGGUUGUGGGACCUGCAGGCACCACCGUCAUCACCGACAGUCUCUUAUCUUAAAAUCCGAGCCCAUCACAAAUGGUGGGAACUCGGAGUGGAGGAAGGAGUGCGAGCUGCCAGAGUGGAGAGCAAUGAAGAUCUCCCCCAGGGACAGGAGCGCCCUUGGCCUGUGCCAUUGGCAAGGAGAAUGUGCCUGGUAAGAGGCAAAGAGAGUGGCGCGGUGGGGCUUUGCCGUCCUACUCCCCCGCUGCCCUCUCUCUCUCUUCGUUUCUCAACACAGUGACUUAAAGAUCCACAGUGUGCGCGCAGUCUGCGGUCCUGGCAACGUGGUAGGCCCUGGGAGCGUGAUGAGGAAGAGGACACACACAACCACCUUGCUCACGUAGUUUCUGUGUUAGAUACCUUCAGCUUUUCUAAAGCACAGCCUCCCAGAGGACAGCUUGGAUUCUAACAGUCUCUUAAGGACGGCUCAGUCUCCAUUCCAAUAUGACAGACAAGUGUGUGAAGGGAAGGUGGAUGAUGGCUGCCAUGAAUUAGAAGAAGACAUCUUUGACCUCACCACUCAAGAACUCCCCAGCCAUAUUCUUUAAGUUGAUUUCUCCUUGCCUCAUCACCAAGGUUCAUAGCAUUGAGCUGGAACUAAUGAUGGAUAAAGAGGAGGCUACUUCUGUGUGGCCAGGGUAGUGCUGGGGUAGCCUGUGAGAGGUCUGUUCAAGAGACUUACAUUUUCUCAAAUUCUUUCAAAUUACCAAUAACCACCCUGUGCCCCAACCAUCAACUCUGGGUGGUUAUUAGCAUUGGUUCUGGUCUCUAACCUCUCCCUUUACUGUUAACCCAGUGCUAAGCCCUCCACACCAUUGAGGAAAUGACCCAGAGGCAAGAGUAGGACCUAGUCCAGACUACAGCUCCACAGGGAACUGUGUCAAGCCAAAGCUCCUGGGACAACUGGGAAACCUUUGCCUGUCGGUCCCUUAAUGCCCAGCUAAGUGGUCAGAUGACAGACAGGUAAGCAGGGGUCACCACCAGUGCGGUAUUAGGUGUCUUCCUCUGUAUGGGGUCUGAGUGAGAGAUUGGUAUAGACAUUCUUCUUUAAUGUCCCCAGGCAAGGAUUCCACUAACAGUGAUGCUGCGGGCUUCUGUCGAAAUCAAACUGUUGUUCACUGUUUGAAGUUCCUCUACAUUGUAUGAAGCAAUAGUUUUUCAAGUUGCAUCUUGUCCUGAAGGACUCCAUUUUACAAAUGAAGGACCACAGGGACUCUGAACUUCACUGUCUAGCACCAACCACAAGGCACAGACUGAUUAAUGACAUAUUCUCAAAAGUGAACACAUUAUCACUCUACAAAUGUAUCAGAGCAUCUUGAGACCAUAUGAGCCCAUGGACAUACAAAAAUCACAGUAAGAAUACCAGGCCUGAGAGCUAAUCGAACACACCAGAAGAAGAACAACAGUUCCCACCAACCCCUGUUAGGCUUCACACUACUGCUGCUAAGUUCAUCUUGAACUGCCUCCCAUCUGUCCACCUGAUGGUUCAUCUAGACCCAGUCCAUCCCUUUGUCUCUACGGCCUCCACAAUCACACUCUUCACAUGGGCAGCUCAGGCUGACCUCAGACGCAACUUAGCUCUGACACACCCUGUAGAUCUGUAAGAGGUUAAUUACAUGAUUCCAACAGAGGCUUGCUUUGCUUCUGUGCUUCCCCCCACCCCCCUACCCUCGCUUUGGCCUUUCAGUAAAGUCACCUCCUUGAGCUAUAUUUCUUUAACUAUUUUCAACUAUUUUGUGACCUACAGAAGGAGAGAGAGAGAGAGAGAGAGAGAGAGAGAGAGAAAGAGACAGAGAC
rnacentral:sRNA from 1 species